UAGGUCUCGAGCGUUGUCCGGAUUUAUUGGGCGUAAAGCGAGCGCAGGCGGUUCUAUAAGUCUGAAGUAAAAGGCAGUGGCUCAACCAUUGUAUGCUUUGGAAACUGUAGAACUUGAGUGCAGAAGGGGAGAGUGGAAUUCCAUGUGUAGCGGUGAAAUGCGUAGAUAUAUGGAGGAACACCGGUGGCGAACGCGGCUCUCUGGUCUGU
rnacentral:rRNA from 1 species